GACGAACGCUGGCGGCGUGCUUAACACAUGCAAGUCGAACGAAGUGGCGAACGGGUGAGUAACGCGUAAUCAACCUGCCCUUCAGAGGGGGACCACAGUUGGAACCGACUGCUAAUACCGCAUACUCAAGUAGGGGGUGUCGUCUGAUUAGCUAUUUGGAGGGGGAACGGCCCACCAAGGCGAGGAUAAGUAGCCGGUCUGAGAGAAUGAACGGCCACCAUGGGGCUGGGACACGGCCCAGACUCCUUCGGGAGGCAGCAGUGGGGAAUCUUCCGCAAUGGACGCAAGUCUGACGGAGCAACGCCGCGUGAGUGAUUACGGCCUUCGGGUUGUAAAGCUCUGUUAAUCGGGACGCGGUACCGGAAUAGAAAGCCACGGCUAACUACGUGCCAGCAGCCGCGGUAAUAC
rnacentral:rRNA from 1 species